GGAGGGUUGCCAGAGCGGACGAAUGGGGCGGCCUCGAAAGCCGUUGUGGCCUCCGGGAUCCCACACCCUCCGCCA
rnacentral:tRNA from 1 species